GCGCGAGUGGUGAAAUUGGCAGACACGCUAGAUUUAGGCUCUAGUGCUUUACGGCGUAAGGGUUCAAGUCCCUUCCCGCGCACCA
rnacentral:tRNA from 1 species